rnacentral:rRNA from 1 species
GGGGAUCGAGUUCACUCCCAACCCCUGUG